AGCCUGCGUACGAUUAGCUUGUUGGCGGGGUAACAGCCCACCAAGGCGACGAUCGUUAGCUGGUCUGAGAGGAUGAUCAGCCACACUGGGACUGAGACACGGCCCAGACUCCUACGGGAGGCAGCAGUGGGGAAUAUCGGACAAUGGGCGCAAGCCUGAUCCAGCAAUGCCGCGUGAGUGAAGAAGGUCUUCGGAUUGUAAACCCCUUUCGAUCGGAACGAAUCCCCUCCUGGUAAACAAUCAGGAGGAUCGACGGUACCGAGAGAAGAAGCCACGGCUAACUCUGUGCCAGCAGCCGCGGUAAGACAGAGGUGGCGAGCGUUGUUCGGAUUUAUUGGGCGUAAAGCGAACGCAGGUGGUUUGGUAAGUCAGAGGUGAAAGACCACAGCUUAACUGUGGCACUGCCUUUGAUACUGCCUUUCUUGAGUGCAUGAGGGGGAAGCGGAAUUCCGAGUGUAGAGGUGAAAUUCGUAGAUAUUCGGAGGAACACCGGUGGCGAAGGCGGCUUCCUGGCAUGUAACUGACACUCAUGUUCGAAAGCGUGGGUAGCAAACAGGAUUAGAUACCCUGGUAGUCCACGCCCUAAACGAUGGGCACUAGGUGUGGGAGGUAUCGACCCCUUCCGUGCCGCAGCUAACGCAUUAAGUGCCCCGCCUGGGGAGUACGGCCGCAAGGUGAA
rnacentral:rRNA from 1 species